UACGUAGGGGGCAAGCGUUGUCCGGAAUCAUUGGGCGUAAAGCGCGUGUAGGCGGCUCUGCAAGUCGGAUGUGAAAUCCCACGGCUCAACCAUGGAAGUGCAUUCGAAACUGCAGGGCUAGAGUCCUGGAGAGGAAGGCGGAAUGCUUGGUGUAGAGGUGAAAUUCGUAGAUAUCGGGAGGAACACCGGUGGCGAAGGCGGCGACCUGGGACAAUACUGACGCUGAGGUGCGAAAGCGUGGGGAGCAAACAGG
rnacentral:rRNA from 1 species